CGUAAAAGACGAGUGAUAAGUAUAGAGGAUUCCGCUCUUUUGUUUGCAGCAAACUUUUAAGCUUCCGCGUGGGGAGUACGGUCGAAAGGGUGAAAUUCAAUGGAAUUGACGGGGGCCCGCACAAGCGGUGGAGCACCGGUUUAUUUGGAAGCAACGGGAAGAACCUUACCAGGUCUUGACAUCCUCUGACAACCCUAGAGAUAGGGCGUUCCCCUUCGGGGGACAGAGUGACAGGUGGUGCAUGGUUGUUGUCAGCUCGUGUCGUGAGAUGUUGGGUUAAGUCCCGCAACGAGCGCAACCCUUGAUUUUAGUUGCCAGCAUUCAGUUGGGCACUCUAAGGUGACUGCCGGUGACAAACCGGAGGAAGGUGGGGAUGACGUCAAAUCAUCAUGCCCCUUAUGACCUGGGCUACACACGUGCUACAAUGGAUGGAACAAAGGGUCGCGAAGCCGCGAGGUCGAGCCAAUCCCAUAAAUCCAUUCUCAGUUCGGAUUGCAGGCUGCAACUCGCCUGCAUGAAGCCGGAAUCGCUAGUAAUCGCGGAUCAGCAUGCCGCGGUGAAUACGUUCCCGGGCCUUGUACACACCGCCCGUCACACCACGAGAGUUUGUAACACCCGAAGUCGGUGGGGUAACCUUUGGAGCCAGCCCGGGU
rnacentral:rRNA from 2 species